rnacentral:rRNA from 1 species
GUGCCAGCCGCCGCGGUAAUACGUAGGUGGCGAGCGUUGUCCGGAAUUACUGGGCGUAAAGGGAGCGUAGGCGGUUUUUUAAGUGGGACGUGAAAUCCCCGGGCUCAACCUGGGAAUUGCGUUCCAUACUGGGGAACUAGAGUGCAGGAGAGGAAAGUGGAAUUCCAAGUGUAGCGGUGAAAUGCGUAGAGAUUUGGAGGAACACCAGUGGCGAAGGCGACUUUCUGGACUGUAACUGACGCUGAGGCUCGAGAGCGUGGGGAGCAAACAGGAUUAGAUACCCUGGUAGUCCACGCUGUAAACGAUGAAUACUAGGUGUAGGGGGCGAAGCCUUCUGUGCCGCAGUUAACACAUUAAGUAUUCCGCCUGGGGAGUACGAUCGCAAGAUUAAA